GAGUUUGAUCCUGGCUCAGAUUGAACGCUGGCGGCAGGCCUAACACAUGCAAGUCGAACGGUAGCACAGAGAGCUUGCUCUCGGGUGACGAGUGGCGGACGGGUGAGUAAUGUCUGGGAAACUGCCUGAUGGAGGGGGAUAACUACUGGAAACGGUAGCUAAUACCGCAUAACGUCGCAAGACCAAAGAGGGGGACCUUCGGGCCUCUUGCCAUCAGAUGUGCCCAGAUGGGAUUAGCUAGUAGGUGGGGUAACGGCUCACCUAGGCGACGAUCCCUAGCUGGUCUGAGAGGAUGACCAGCCACACUGGAACUGAGACACGGUCCAGACUCCUACGGGAGGCAGCAGUGGGGAAUAUUGCACAAUGGGCGCAAGCCUGAUGCAGCCAUGCCGCGUGUAUGAAGAAGGCCUUCGGGUUGUAAAGUACUUUCAGCGGGGAGGAAGGUGUUGUGGUUAAUAACCGCAGCAAUGACG
rnacentral:rRNA from 2 species